rnacentral:rRNA from 1 species
GACGAAGGUGGCAAGCGUUGUUCGGAUUCACUGGGCAUAAAGGGCGCGUAGGCGGUUCCGAAAGGGGCAUGUGAAAUCCCCCGGCUCAACCGGGGAAGUGCGUGCCAAACUUCGGUGCUAGAGGGCGGUAGGGGGGACUGGAACUCUCGGUGGAGCGGUGAAAUGCAUAGAUACCAUUAAGAACACCGAUUGCGAAGGCAGCUUACUAUAGUGUAACUGACGCUGAGGCACGAAAGUGUGGGGAUCAAACAGG